AGAUCUCUCCAUAGAUUGAUGUGGUGUAACACAGCUGAAGGCCUCCUGUGUUCUGCCCAGCGCCUUCACGACUCUUUUGUAAAUGCCGGGAACUCCUCAUCAAUGUUUGUACAACUCACCAUUCCUGCCUCCUGCUCCUCAUAAACAUGGAUAAUAACAGUUCUCUCUUGUGCUGGCACAGGCAGCCAUGCAGCCUAUAUGAACUUGGCUCACGAUAAAAAGAGAAACCUACCCCAGCAGCAAGCCCCAAAUAUAGAUGGAGCAGACAAACUCUGACUAAGGCUAGAAGGAAAGUGACCACAAGCAGCAGUAAAGUCAACCUACACGUUACCACUGGCUGCAAGCAGAAAUGGGAUGGUUCUCAGAAGAAAACUUCUGUGAAGACAUCUUUAGCUGGUGCAAGGAAACCACAUUUUCUCAAUGAAGUUUUUGCAGACUUGCACUAAUAUUGAUUCCUAGAAUAACUGAGGUUAAAAGGAAUCUCUGGAUAACUCUGGUCUCAUUGCUCUCUCAAAGCUGGUCAACUACAUCAGGUUGCUCAGGGUCUUACCCAGCAAACAAGUCCCAGAGUGAAACUGGAGACCAAGUUCCCUUUUUUCCCCCAUAGGAUUGAGAACAAAUUCCCCCCUACAGCGCUGCGCGAAAGAAGAAAGCAAGAAAGCUGGGGAUUUAUUGGCUUCCCCGUGGGACUCCAGGUUCCUCGUGCGGCUGUUUAUAAAACAGGCAGCUUCCCAGCUGGAGCGCGCCGGUCCUGCCGCGGGCAGAUGGAGCGUCGCACCGGUCACACCUCUGCUGGCUGGCCCUGCGGCGGCACAGCAGCUGGCCCGGGGCAACCCUCGGCCCAGGAUGGUUUUCGGUCCUUAACCACAGUCCACCCGGAAGCUGCUUAGGACCAUAAAGUCUAGCACCUGUAGAUGCUGCUGAUCUAUGCUGUCUACAUAAUCAUAUGUAGACACACUAUGCAUGUAUAUGAGGGUUGAUGACUCUUCACACGCUGGAAACUAACACUGCGGUCAGAGCCUGUCUGGCUCAGCAGCAGCGUGAAUUACCCAAACCUCCUUAAAGGAGAUCAUAAACACCUAAAAAGUAAGUCUAAAGUGAAGCCAUUUCUGUUCUUGUCUUCGUCACCUUCGAGACGAAAAUCUGUUACCACACCGAUAAUUUGUUAAAGCUACUGAACACAGCCUUGCUGUUGGCAAGUAAGGCGGCGGCAGCUGGUGCCAGGCUCGGUGCGGUGCGCGGCAGCCCGGGGGCUGGGGCUGGGGCUGGGUUUGGGUUUGUUUUGAACGGCAGCAGCACAUGCGACCAAAGCUCGACUUGUGUCUGUGUGGGACGUGGCAGCACCCAACAAUCGUGCAGCCCGGACCAGAGAGCGGCUCUCCCGGGGAGCGGGGCGUUGGUAGGCAGUGGGUGGAAGCAGAGCAGCGCUUCCCUCUGUACCCCUCACCCCCCCGCACCCCCCCCGCCAGGAGCUCGGGGGUGGCUGGGGGCAGGAAAGGGAACGGGGGAGAGGGGGGCGGCCCCCCCUUCCUUCUCGCCAGCACACGCACGUACCAACUUUUUUUCCCGGUGGACGAAGCUGAUUUAAAAGUGAUUUCCAACCUAUUUUUAAUUCUAUAAAGUAUGCAUUUUAAUUUAAAUAGGUCGUUGCAUGUCCUCUGCGUUUGCUCUGAGAGAAAAAAAGCAGAAUGGUGUGUAAUUAAAACUGGAUUUUGAUUGAUGGAAUGUCAUGAUGAGCUAAAUGAUACCA